UGCCGGUAGAUCCCCCGUUUUAGUGCGGCCGACUACCUGCGCCGUGUCCCCUGUCCCUUGUUGUUGUUACCGUUUCCUUCGAAGUGCUUGUGUGCUAGUACCUGAAUUUUGGGAAGUUGUUUUGCUUACAUGGUUUCCUCGUGGUGGACGCCUUACGGUGUGCUGCUAUGGCCUAAUGGCGCUUGCGUCGUUGCCUCAUGGUGCUGGCUGUUAAAAUCACUAGUGCUAUCAAGGCAACCUCGAGCUCGCUGUUGGUUUCGGAUGUUGCUCACGCUAAAGUCUCAUGACCCUUUUGGUUGCCAUGACCCGACCCUUAAGAAGCUCUCCGAAUUGAGAACACCCGGAACAGGUGUUGCCUCUACCUCUCCACAGUUAGUGGUAGGAUAUGUAACAUUUUGCGCCGAUCCUCAAACAAGUAGGACGAGCUUAGCCCGCUCAAUUGCGACAACUGGCAGGUAGUUGUACUGGCUGCCCACGAAAGUGGAUGGACGGGCAACUGUCAAAGCUGGAUGUCAAA
rnacentral:misc_RNA from 1 species